CUCAGAUGAGUCCUCCUCAAGCCUCGGAUGAAUCCCUCAGAAACACAGCCUUGACGCUCGCUUCCCCUCUGCGCUACAUAAAGCCACCAAGAAAUGUCCUCCCACUAAUCCUCCACAAGAAGACCGCACACAAAUCAGGAAAAGUCCGCAGGAACGAAAAAAAAAACAAACGCAAAACACAUCAAACGGAUAAGUUA